rnacentral:tRNA from 1 species
GGCGGCGUAGCUCAGUGGUCAGAGCACACGGUUCAUAACCGUGGUGUCGUUGGUUCAAGUCCAACCGCCGCUA